rnacentral:snRNA from 1 species
AACUUUGUCCAGUAGCAGUAUCAUAGCCAAUGAGGUUUAUCUGAGGCAUAAUUAUUGCAAGUUAAAUUGCCUCAAAUUUUG